UCAAGAUAUAGCUUAAACUAAAGCAUCUAGUUUACACCUAGAAGAUUUCACAUAUUAUGAAUAUCUUGA
rnacentral:tRNA from 1 species